AGAGCGAACGCUGGCGGCGUGCUUAACACAUGCAAGUCGAACGAGGUCUGUAGCAAUACAGAUACUCGUGGCGAACGGGUGCGUAACACGUGGAUAACCUUCCUUCAGGUGGGGAAUAACCCAGUGAAAAUUGGGCUAAUACCGCAUAACAUGACGAUGCCACAUGGUGUUGUCUUCAAAGGCGCAAGUCGCCAGAAGAGGGAUCCGCGGCCGAUUAGCUAGUUGGCGAGGUAAUGGCUCACCAAGGCAAUGAUCGGUAGCCGGACUGAGAGGUUGGCCGGCCACACUGGAACUGAGACACGGUCCAGACUCCUACGGGAGGCAGCAGUGGGGAAUCUUGCACAAUGGACGAAAGUCUGAUGCGCAACGCCGCAUGGGGAUGAAGCUUUUCGGAGUGUAAACCCCUUUCGACCCGGAAGAAAGCCCGCAAGGGUUUGACGGUACGGGUAUAAGAAGCCCCGGCUAACUACGUGCCAGCAGCCGC
rnacentral:rRNA from 1 species